rnacentral:rRNA from 1 species
CACGUAGGGGGCAAGCGUUGUCCGGAUUUAUUGGGCGUAAAGAGCGUGUAGGCGGCCUGGUAGGUCAGCUGUGAAAACUCGAGGCUCAACCUCGAGACGCCGGUUGAAACCAUCAGGCUAGAGUCCGGAAGAGGAGAGUGGAAUUCCCGGUGUAGCGGUGAAAUGCGCAGAUAUCGGGAAGAACACCCGUGGCUAAGGCGGCUCUCUAGUACGGUACUGACGCUGAGACGCGAAAGCGUGGGGAGCGAACAGG